rnacentral:lncRNA from 1 species
GGGCCUGAUGGGAUUACUCGCCCUUUCUCUGUCUCUCUCUGUCUGUGUCUGUCUGUCUGUCUGUCUGUCUGUCUGUCUGUCUGUCUCUCACACACACAACACACACACACACACACACAUACAGGAGGACACAUCCUUGCAUCUCAGGGGACUGUAAUGUAUACACUCCAGUGCCACUGACACCAGCAGCAGUGUGGGGCUGCAGGUGACACCAGGGAAGCUGCAGAUUUUGCUCACGUGAUCCAGAACUCAGGGAUGUGGAAAGCCUGACUCCAGGAGAGGAGGGGCAUGAGGACCAGAUGGGUUGUCGAGGCACUGUCGGAAGUCACCUACUGAUCGGAUCUGCUAAAGGCUCUUUCUUUCCAGCCGCCUGUGGAGUGGAAUUCCUGAGGCCCACAUGGGAGCUCACAGUUGCCCUUCAUACAUCCCACAGUCCUCCCAUGCCCCUAAGUUCCCACAAAAAGGAGCCUUGCCCCCAAGGCACUGGCCUACUUCACUCCUAUGAGAGACAGUGAACUUAGAAAGGGGUAGCAUUAGGAGUUCUGUGCCCUGUCUUGAGCCUGCUACCAGCAUGUAACUACAGGCCACAUCUUCCCCACCAGGCCUUUCUCUGUAGGCAGAGGGAUUAUGGCGUUGAUUUAAAACUCAGAGAAGAUUUCGUGGGAAGCUUCUCUACUCAAAAAAAAAAAAAAAAAAAAGCAAGUAGCAAUCAGGGAUAUCUUGCUCCGUUGGCUAAUGGUUCUGGAGUGCUGAACCACCCAGCAGGGGUUCUACCAAGAGACUAGAGUUCUCUUUCUGGGAAGUGAUUAAACUCCAUGUACUGAUCUUUGCUGCCCUCUGCUGGCCACAGCUGGCUGAGACACAAGGACACACGCUCCAUGCAUCUCAGACACAGCAGCCCUGAGAGAUGGGGAACCUGAUAUUCAGAAUGGGCAGGGCUUCCUCCAGGUCACACAGAAUCAGCCCUGCGCUUGCCUCCUCUUCAGCGAAGCGGUUACUCCUGCGCCAACAGCAGCAUUUCACUCAGAGACUCCAUAGAUAGGCACCUCACUGGACUGUAAUCCAGAGGAAGAUGGAAUCUCACUUUACAUGAAUUGGCUUAGUCAAACAAGCUGUAGCUCUAAUAUAUGAAGUUUCCUGGAUGCUCCGACAUGGAGAGGGCAUGGAGAGAGUGGGAUUUAGAGAGCACGAGGACUCCCCAGUGCUCACCCUUUCCAGAAGGGGGAGAGGCUGUAACAGAGCACCU